rnacentral:rRNA from 1 species
AUACGGAAGGUGCAAGCGUUGUUCGGAUUGACUGGGCGUAAAGAGCACGUAGGUUGAUGUGUAAGUCGAAUGUGAAAGCCCAGGGCUUAACCUUGGAACUGCAUUCGAAACUACAUUUCUUGAAUACUUGAGAGGUUGGCGGAAUUCCAGGUGUAGGAGUGAAAUCCGUAGAUAUCUGGAGGAACAUCAGAGGCGAAGGCGGCCAACUGGCGAUGUAUUGACACUGAGGUGCGAAAGCGUGGGGUGCAAACAGGAUUAGAAACCCCAGUAGUCC